ensembl:lncRNA
CUUAGCUGUUUCGAGAUCUUUUCUCAACAGGGAGAAUAUUUCUUACCUUCAAGGGGAUCUAUUAUUUUGCAGAGAUUUGGAAAUUACUGUACUGUCACUCUCCUUGGGUCUGUGGGAAAAGGUCAUCUGCCUGAAAAUAGAUGAAAAUUGAGAGGAUGGAGGCAGAGAGACACAGAGAUGGAGAGAGAUGGAAGGAAAGAGUGCUGCUGCUAUCGGAGCCUUCUCUGCAUUUCCCCUUCUUCGAGAGAUUAUCCUUGCAGAGCCCUGCAGGAUCCUGGGGACUAGGGACAGGAAGGGACUCUGAAACUCUGCCUGAAAUAGAAAACAGCACAAGAGGCUGCUAUUCCACAAAGUCCCAGGAAGAGUGGGAAAAAGAGAGGAAAAAAAACAUUAAUGUAGGAAGUAAAUCUGCUCAGCGUUUUAUCCCAACAUCCUGUCCUCCUGCUGCUUUUUAUAUGACCUUUUGCACUGCACAGAAUUCAUUACUAUUGUAAAAAACACGGUUUUGUUUCUUAGAAAAUUUCAAGAAAUGUGUGAUCUGUUUUAAAGUAGACAGGAUUCACAAGUGGCAAAAAUAUGUGUUCUUCCAAAUCCUUUUCCUUCAUUAUCAGCUCCAGAAGUUUGCUAAUUAGACCCACUAAACAAAAACACCUCAGCAAUAACACAGUGCAGAAGGAACGGAGAAAACUUCAUAAUUGCAAUUUUAUUUAUUAUUUCACUGCAGGACAGCACAGGAACCUUAACCAGGUCAAGACUUCAUUGUGUCAGGUGCUGUACACACAAAAAAAUAGCAGUUCCUGCUCCAGGAAACGUGAAAUUUUUGCAUGUAUUUAUAGCCAAGCUUGUGGCCCCAUGGUAACUCAUUUAGUGAUUACCUCCACAAAUGCUAGUGAAGGCACCCAGAAACAUAUUUUGCAGGGUACAAACAUCUGUGGUUUCCCUGAGGCUGAAGCCCAGUGUACUUUCCCUGCCACAGAAGGGUAAUAGGGCCUUAGAGUAAAUGGAGUGGAAUAAGGACCAAAACACUUUGUGUUCUUUAAAUGAAAGGCACUUUAUACACACACGUAUGUUUACUGAAAGGCCUUUCAAAGAGGCAUAAUUAUGCAGGCAUCUCUGUGUAAUUCGCCUGGGUCAAUGCUAAUGUUGGAAAGUACUUAUUCUGUGGGUCAGACGAAUUACUGCAGUGCUCAGCCCCUGGCCUAUGUGUAUGUAAUAA